CCCCCCCGCCCCAGUCUGCAAGAGGAGAGCUGUAAGGUUCACCCUCGCUCACUGAGUGAUGAAUGGCGGUUUGGAAAGCUUCAACGGGAAACUGAAAAUGCAGGCAGAGUUCUGGCCAGUGGGCAGAAGGAUCCUGGAUGCACUGGAAACCACAAAGGCAUCAGAUUGGACAUCAGGACGUCCGUAGAAAACAGAAGAGCAGACGGGAAAAACGGCAGAGAAUCCGUUCGGAAGCAGACGGCAGCAGAACAAAAAUUAAAACAGUCACAUACAGCCCCCUGCUAUUAUUUGCAUACAGUGCAAAAUAAAAUAAAAUAAGAUUAAAAAUUCUGGGUAAAAUAACGAGCAGAGUGGAGCCAAAGGAAGGAGAUUUUAAGGCCUGCGGUAGCAGGAGGAAUAAUCCUUCUGAUCAGAAAUGUCACAGCUUCCUAGAUGAACGCGAGGCGGGAAGCAAAUUCCAUCAGUGAUGCAGAACAGUUAUUGUGCAGAGGAAAUCUCUGAUGAGCAGGGUGAAGCGGUCACCGGCGACCGUCGUUUGAUUAUUAUUAUUACUGUACACCUGCUCCUCCACUCUAAUUAACUUUGGUUAUGCAAAUCAGCCCUAUUGCAUCAUAGCCCCCACCGCUGCCUAAAGGGGGGAAAAAAACACUGAUGUUCAGGUGCUGGAUUUAAUUACGGGAAUGAAAGGUUGGACCAGUGCGGGUGAGAGGGGAGGGAGGGGGUACAGCGAGAAAGGGCGGCUGUGGAAAAAAAAAAAUAGAAUGAGACAAAGAGGAGAAGAAAAGGGAGGGAAAAAUGGGUAGAACUGAUAGAUGGAUGUGACAGAAGGAGAAGCAUGUUAGAGCUGAGUAGGGCAGACAGUGGGGGAGAAGAGGAGGAGAGAUUAGAAAAGCAGGGGGUUGUGAGUAACCCCUCUGCCCCCCGGUGUUUGACAUUUCUCCGUUUCCUCGGCUUGCUGGCAGUCAUCGCCAUGCCAACGCUGAUAGGGCUGGAUUGAUGAGGCCUCGUUUGCUGGGGGUGGCUUCGCAUUUGCCGGAGACAGGUUUUAUAAUAAGAGUCCUGACAGGUACGACUCCUUUUUAUGUUAAACACCGAACCUCCCUGCUCCUUCGAACCAUAAGAACAGCUCAAAGACUAUUUCUUAUUAAUCAGCGCAUUAAACGGACUCUGUUCUCAAUGAGGGGAACUCAUUUUGACACUAGCUUUUGCUUUCUCAAGGGAACUAUGGUGUUGGUUGUUUCAGGCUAAUCUGAGAUUAGCAUUCCCUAUCUUUCUAUACAAUUUGCUUAAAAUGUGAUUACACAUUGACCACUUGUCAGUUACUCGUUUUGGUUCUUUAUUUGGCAUUUUGCACUGAGGCUGGAAGUCCAGAUUCUGCACCAGUUUACUUGAGAUGGGCUGUACUUCCUUGAUGGUAACCAAUGCGAUGACAAAAUGUCAUAAUGGCAAAUAAAUCAAAAUCUAGUUGUUGCUGAUUUUUCCCAACCUGAUUGCACUGGUUGCUACUAAGAUUUCUUACAAAAGUAGCUUAAAGUCAACUGAAGUACCCAAGAAAAUCAGCACCCCCACAUUACCAACAUGCCCUUUCAAGAAACUAGUUUUUCUCUUUGCAAAAUCUGUUCUCCUCUCACCCUUACUGCAAGAAUACUUUGUUAAUAUUUGCAGAGUUUUGUCUAUAGUGAAAAAUAAAUGUUGAUUUCUCUACUUGCAUUAAUUUUCCCAGCAUGAGCUUGCUUGUUAACUGUAGAAUCCUCUGUAGGAUUCUGGGUCCAUGUUGGCCUCACUUACAAUAAUAAUAAUGCCUCCCCUACAAGUCAAAUUUUUAGGUCGGACAAUUUUUCCCGUGA